rnacentral:tRNA from 1 species
GCCGCCAUGGUGAAAUCGGUAGACACGCUGCUCUUAGGAAGCAGAA